rnacentral:rRNA from 1 species
UGCCUUAGUAACGGCGAGUGAAGCGGCAAAAGCUCAAAUUUGAAAUCUGGCACCUUCGGUGUCCGAGUUGUAAUUUGAAGAAGGUAACUUUGGAGUUGGCUCUUGUCUAUGUUCCUUGGAACAGGACGUCACAGAGGGUGAGAAUCCCGUGCGAUGAGAUGCCCAAUUCUAUGUAAAGUGCUUUCGAAGAGUCGAGUUGUUUGGGAAUGCAGCUCUAAGUGGGUGGUAAAUUCCAUCUAAAGCUAAAUAUUGGCGAGAGACCGAUAGCGAACAAGUACAGUGAUGGAAAGAUGAAAAGAACUUUGAAAAGAGAGUGAAAAAGUACGUGAAAUUGUUGAAAGGGAAGGGCUUGAGAUCAGACUUGGUAUUUUGCGAUCCUUUCCUUCUUGGUUGGGUUCCUCGCAGCUUACUGGGCCAGCAUCGGUUUGGAUGGUAGGAUAAUGACUAAGGAAUGUGGCUCUACUUCGGUGGAGUGUUAUAGCCUUGGUUGAUACUGCCUGUCUAGACCGAGGACUGCGUCUUUUGACUAGGAUGUUGGCAUAAUGAUCUUAAGCCACCCGUCUUGAAACACGGACCAAGGAGUCUAACGUCUAUGCGAGUGUUUGGGUGUAAAACCCGUACGCGUAAUGAAAGUGAACGUAGGUGAGAGCUCUUAAGAGUGCAUCAUCGACCGAUCCUGAUGUCUUCGGAUGGAUUUGAGUAAGAGCAUAGCUGUUGGGACCCGAAAGAUGGUGAACUAUGCCUGAAUAGGGUGAAGCCAGAGGAAACUCUGGUGGAGGCUCGUAGCGGUUCUGACGUGCAAAUCGAUCGUCGAAUUUGGGUAUAGGGGCGAAA